rnacentral:rRNA from 1 species
UACGUAGGCAGCGAGCGUUGUUCGGAAUACUGGGCGUAAAGCGUGCGCAGGCGGUUGUGUAAGACAGGUGUGAAAUCCCCAGGCUUAACCUGGGAACUGCAUCCGAUACUGGAUGGCUUGAAUUCGGGAGAGGGAUGGCAGAAUUCCAGGUGAUAGCGGUGAAAUGCGUAGAUAUCAGGAGGAACACCAAUGGCGAAGGCAGCUCGCUGGGACGGUACUGACGCUGGAGAACGCGAAAGCGUGGGGAGCAAACAGG